UUUUCUUUGGUUUGCUGUGUGUACAAUGCACUCUCUAUGUUUAUUAGUGGAUGCAUGGGUAAGGCCACUUCUCGUGCUUUAGGUUAAGCGGCCCUGGCGCUGUGACUGCUAUUAGUUGGGAUACCUUAAUUUACUAGCAACCAUUCGAGUUAUCGUGCAGUAUGCAACACUGCAAAAAUGAACUCUCUAUUUUGGGCUUCUUUCUGUCCCGCAACAAAAAUUGACAUCUAUCUCGCGUGUCCUUCCUUGCAUUAUCGUCGUUCUCAUAGGCGGUACUCCAAGUUCACGAACAGCAUGUGUACUGUCAAUGUGGCAUAGCAUUGUUAAUAGGAACAUGACGAGCACCCAGCUUUGAGAAAAAAAAUUUUUUGUGCAAUCUGCAGGGGAAGAGCCCAUCGCUUUCAAGGCAUUUUAUCUUGGUCACUAUCGAAAGUGCACCGUGUGGUACGGGCUGUACCUGCACACUCAUUAACUACUUCACUCUAUCUGCCAAUGGACGUGCAACAAUGGCUAACGCAUUUUUUUUUUCUUUUUUCGUAGUCGUGGUCGUGCCCACUCAAGCGGGAGCUUCGCAUCUCCAGCGGCAAAUGCAGUUAUAUCGAUGGUGUAUGCGGCCAGUGUAAGCAUGCAGCGGCCGUGUACGUACACAUAAACACUUGUGAAGAUGACAGCUGCACAAACCAACCUCAGCAGUGGGGGAAAGCCCAAAGGGAAGCGUCGGAUCCAGCGAUCACAGCACUUGGCAUACAAAUUUCCUAAUGAUUCUACAACGCAGAAAAGAGAUUUUUUGGCCGAAAUGACAGCUGAUCAGAGGGAAAUAUACCAAGCAAAGACAUCUCUAGAGCAAACCCCAGUUGACUUAGCGUUACUGACCCAAGGACAGUCAACGUGUACACGGUGGCAUCAGGAGCGGAAACUGCGUCUCAGCAGCACCAAAGCCCACAUGAUUCGGACAAAGAAAGAUGACCAAGGGCUCUGGAAAGCUGCUCAGCAACUUCUUAAAUCCAGCUCCUACAAGAGCGCUGCCAUGUGCUAUGGAAUCAGAGCCAAGAGGACCUGGAAAGGAGGCUUGGCACAAGUACUAUAGUGCAGACUGGACUGGUGGUUCUUCCUGAGCAACCUUGGCUGUGCUGCAGCCCUGAUGGCCUUGUACAGCUUGAUAGUGAGACUGUCCUGAUUGAAAUCAAGUGCUCAUAUAAAUUGAAAGAUUCACCAUUUAUUAGGUAUGAAGAGCGGCACUGCAAGCUUCCGUACUUGAUCUUCAUUGAUGACAUAAUUGAAUUAAGAAAGUCACAUCAGUACUACACUCAGAUACAGGUCCAAAUGUAUAUUCUUCACUUGCAGAGAGCACUACUUUUUGCAAUGAUUCCACUCCUGCGCCAACUGCGCCAAAGUGCGCCAAAUGGCAUUUAGUGCGCCAUCCUGAUAAUAUCGACGAAAAUUGCGCCAAACUGCGCCAAAGUCUGGGGUUUGGGGGCGUCUAUCACUGGCAAUUGCACCGCCUGCGCGUCAGAACAUGUGCAGAUUGAUCUUAGGGCUGACAAAGUCACAACCAUGGACCGAGAAUUAUUCCGCUGAAUAAAUCGCGCUCGCGCGUGCGUCCCAAGUAAGCCACAAUGCCAUGCAUAGUGCCGACGCAGCUUCUGUUCUGCAAGUCGGCUCGACAGCAAAACGCGCUCUCCAUAGAGGCUCGUGACGUCUAGGCCUAUCGGUAGCGAGAAAGUGCGACGGCGAUUCAUCGGUGGACGUCGUCUGCUCCAGAAACGCUUCUGAUAGCUCGUUUCAAGCAUCGCACGGCACGCAAGGAAAGCAAUGUUCAGUAAUACCUACAUGCGUGCCGCUAAAAUGUCUGUCACUUCUGUUUCUGUACAUCGCGGAAUGAAUUCUGGGAUCGCUAGCAGUAGAUAUGUGGAAUGAUAUCGAAUUUUUCUUGCUUCGCGUUUAUGGAAGAGCACGCGAGGAACGCGUUGACACUUUUCCUCAGAUAUACU
rnacentral:misc_RNA from 1 species